rnacentral:tRNA from 1 species
GUCCCCAUCGUCUAGAGGCCUAGGACACCGCCCUUUCACGGCGGCAACAGGGGUUCGAAUCCCCUUGGGGACG